GAACGCACAGGAUGCACCGUAGUUUACUACACCGUAUUCUGUGAGUUGCGAACGGGUGAGUAACGCGUAGGUAACCUGCCUGGUAGCGGGGGAUAACUAUUGGAAACGAUAGCUAAUACCGCAUAAGAACAUUUACUGCAUGGUAGAUGUUUAAAAGGUGCAAAUGCAUCACUACCAGAUGGACCUGCGUUGUAUUAGCUAGUAGGUGAGGUAACGGCUCACCUAGGCGACGAUACAUAGCCGACCUGAGAGGGUGAUCGGCCACACUGGGACUGAGACACGGCCCAGACUCCUACGGGAGGCAGCAGUAGGGAAUCUUCGGCAAUGGGGGGAACCCUGACCGAGCAACGCCGCGUGAGUGAAGAAGGUUUUCGGAUCGUAAAGCUCUGUUGUUAAGGAAGAACGAGUGUGAGAAUGGAAAGUUCAUACUGUGACGGUACUUAACCAGAAAGGGACGGCUAACUACGUGCCAGCAGCCGCGGUAAUACGUAGGUCCCGAGCGUUGUCCGGAUUUAUUGGGCGUAAAGCGAGCGCAGGCGGUUAGAUAAGUCUGAAGUUAAAGGCAGUGGCUCAACCAUUGUAGGCUUUGGAAACUGUUUAACUUGAGUGCAGAAGGGGAGAGUGGAAUUCCAUGUGUAGCGGUGAAAUGCGUAGAUAUAUGGAGGAACACCGGUGGCGAAAGCGGCUCUCUGGUCUGUAACUGACGCUGAGGCUCGAAAGCGUGGGGAGCGAACAGGAUUAGAUAUCCUGGUAGUCCACGCCGUAAACGAUGAGUGCUAGGUGUUAGGUCCUUUCCGGGACUUAGUGCCGCA
rnacentral:rRNA from 1 species